rnacentral:rRNA from 1 species
AACGGAGGGGGCGAGUGUUAUUCACAGUAAUUGGGCGUAAAGGGUACGUAGACGGUUUAUCAAGUAGGAGCACCAAAUACCAUGGUUCAACUGUGUGAGGUGUAUAUUUAUGCUAGUAAACUAGAGUUUAGCAGAGGAAAGUGGUACUCUUAAAGUAUAGGUGAAAUGAGAUGAUAGUAAGUAGACCACCAGAGGCGAAAGCGACUUUCCAGGUUAAACUGACGUUCAGGUACGGGGGCAUGGGUAUCAAACGGG